UGGUUUGCUACACUCAUCAACUCGUCAUUUACAUUAGGUAUGUAUCCUAAUUUUAUCCCUCCCCCAAGUCUCCCAUAUCCCAACAGGCCCUGAUGUGUGAUAUUCCCCCGCCCUGUGUCCAAGUGUUCUCAUUGUUCAAUUCCCACCUAUGAGUGUUUGGUUUUCUGUCCUUGUGAUAGUUCGCUGAGAAUGAUGGUUUCCAGCUUCAUCCAUGUCCCUGCAAAGAGGAGCUGGUACCAUUCCUUCUGAAACUACUC
rnacentral:lncRNA from 10 species